AUUAUAGUCCUGUAAUAUUAUGUUGUCAUUUCUAUGUUAUAUUUUAACAUUGCCAUUAAAGUGCGAGGUUUGGCAUGCCACAAAACCAGGUUCAACCCACCAUUUUUUCCUUUAAAAAUGUCCUGUACCAAGUCAGGAAUAUGGCCAUUGUUAUAUUAUAGUUCGUUUCUGUGUGUGUUACAAUUUACCGUUGCGUCGUUUGUUUUCUCUUAUUUUUGAGUGUAAAUUGACAUUGCGAUAAGACGUGCCACGGUCCUUGUCUAUCCCAAAUUCAUGUAUUUGGUUUUGAUGUUAUAUUUGUUAUUCUCGUGGGAUUUUGUCUGAUGCUUGGUCCGUUUCUGUGUGUGUUAGUUACAUUGUAGUGUUGUGUCGUUGUUCUCCUCUUAUAUUUAUGCGUUUCCCUCAGUUUUAGUUUGUUACCCCGAUUUUGUUUUUUUGUCCAUGGAUUUAUGAGUUUGAACAGCGGUAUACUACUGUUGCCUUUAUUUGACAAAAAAAUAUAC
rnacentral:lncRNA from 1 species